rnacentral:misc_RNA from 1 species
AAUUCUCAACUCCCAAGUUUCUUAUUCUUUAAGAAGCUGUGGUGAGCUUGGACUUGGAGGCUGUGUCGGUCUGCUUCAGAUCGACUCCUCUGAAAUGCAUUAGCGUGAAUCUUACGGAUCACCUUCAACGUGAUAAUUGUCUGCGUUGUGGUCGUGAAGUACUUGUGUUAUUCAUGCUUACAGUCGUCUCUUUCAAGAGACAACUUUUUCGAC